AGAACGAACGCUGGCGGCAUGCCUAACACAUGCAAGUCGAACGAGGGCCCCGCUUCGGUGGGACCCUAGUGGCGCACGGGUGAGUAACGCGUGGGAACCUGCCCUGUGGUACGGAAUAACUCCGGGAAACUGGAGCUAAUACCGUAUGUGUCUUGAGGGACAAAGAUUUAUCGCCAUGGGAUGGGCCCGCGUAGGAUUAGCUUGUUGGUGGGGUAACGCCUACCAAGGCUUCGAUCCUUAGCUGGUCUGAGAGGAUGAUCAGCCACACUGGGACUGAGACACGGCCCAGACUCCUACGGGAGGCAGCAGUGGGGAAUAUUGGGCAAUGGGCGCAAGCCUGAUCCAGCAAUGCCGCGUGAGUGAUGAAGGCCUUCGGUUGUAAAGCUCUUUCGCACGCGACGAUGAUGACGGUAGCGUGAGAAGAAGCCCCGGCUAACUUCGUGCCAGCAGCCGCGGU
rnacentral:rRNA from 1 species